rnacentral:rRNA from 1 species
GAUGAACGCUGGCGGCGUGCCUAAUACAUGCAAGUCGAGCGAACGGAUGAGAAGCUUGCUUCUCUGAUGUUAGCGGCGGACGGGUGAGUAACACGUGGAUAACCUACCUAUAAGACUGGGAUAACUUCGGGAAACCGGAGCUAAUACCGGAUAAUAUUUUGAACCGCAUGGUUCAAAAGUGAAAGACGGUCUUGCUGUCACUUAUAGAUGGAUCCGCGCUGCAUUAGCUAGUUGGUAAGGUAACGGCUUACCAAGGCAACGAUGCAUAGCCGACCUGAGAGGGUGAUCGGCCACACUGGAACUGAGACACGGUCCAGACUCCUACGGGAGGCAGCAGUAGGGAAUCUUCCGCAAUGGGCGAAAGCCUGACGGAGCAACGCCGCGUGAGUGAAGAAGGUCUUCGGAUCGUAAAACUCUGUUAUUAGGGAAGAACAUAUGUGUAAGUAACUGUGCACAUCUUGACGGUACCUAAUCAGAAAGCCACGGCUAACUACGU